AUGUUAAACCCGUACAAAUUCACUUUUUAAUUGGAUCCGUUGUUCCGCGCUACAACAGCGGCGACACCUCCGUAACACUCCGUCGUGACCGCAUCGCCGCACAACCUUGCCGCCAAGAGCCGCUCGCCACCGUGACCAACACCGCACCAUUCUUCGCAUUCCGUUGUGACCGUAGCAUCACCAUCGGCCGCCGCGAAUCAGUGGUCGUUGACGCACCGCCUAGUGCCACCGUCUACCACCACGGAUCCCACUCGCAUUCUGUUCAAGUCAGUUUGGUUCAACAUCAGCCGUGAGUAAGCCGUGAAUCACCCAUGUUGCUCACCUUGAUUAAGUUCUGUAUGAUCAUCUGAGGUCCGUUGACUAAUUUCGGACGAUUUGAUUUGCCUUUGCUUUUUCCUUGCUAAAGUUAAGGUAAUUUGGGAAACGUGGGGAAUAAGUGAAGAGUGCCAUGAAGAUAAAGAUUUAUUUUCUUAUUUCGGUAAUGUAAAAAAAAUGUAAUUAGGAUCUUUUAUUUCAACUUUAUGGAUUAGUUUUAGUUUUGA